UACAGAGGGGGCAAGCGUUGUUCGGAAUUACUGGGCGUAAAGGGCGCGUAGGCGGCCUGUUAAGUCGAACGUGAAAUCCCCGGGCUCAACCCGGGAACUGCGUCCGAUACUGGCAGGCUUGAAUCCGGGAGAGGGAUGCGGAAUUCCAGGUGUAGCGGUGAAAUGCGUAGAUAUCUGGAGGAACACCGGUGGCGAAGGCGGCAUCCUGGACCGGUAUUGACGCUGAGGCGCGAAAGCCAGGGGGAGCAAACGGGG
rnacentral:rRNA from 1 species